rnacentral:rRNA from 1 species
UACAGAGGUCCCGAGCGUUGUUCGGAGUUACUGGGCGUAAGGGCGGCGACUAGGCGGCGCAUCAAGUCAGGCGUGAAAGCCCUGGGCUCAACCCGGGAAUUGCGCUUGAGACUGGUGUGCUUGAGUACGGGAGAGGAUAGUGGAAUUCCCAGUGAUAGAGGUGAAAUUCGUAGAUAUUGGGAAGAACACCAGUGGCGAAGGCGGCUAUCUGGACCGUAACUGACGCUGAAGGCGCGGAAAGCGUGGGGAGCAAACAGG